UGUAGUGUUUCUACCUAAUGUUAGAUAAUAGCUGGUGUCCACAUACUUUUGGUCAUGUAGUGUAUAAAUCUCAUGAUUCAAUGAUUAUUUAAUUAUCACUAUCUUUAUUUAAUUUUUACACCAGAUGGACUACAAGGACAGCUGAGUAAGUAGUCUGUCUCUGUGUGUGUGUGUGUGUGUGUGUGUGUGUGUGUGUGUGUGUGUGUGUGUGUGUGUGUGUGUGUGUGUGUGUGUGUGUUCACAUGCGUCUGUCUGCAUUGUCAUGUUUUUAAGGUUUGCUCACCAACAUGUGUGUUCUGACUAUCUGUUCUUGUCCUCAGGGGAAGCUAAAGAGACCAUCCAAUCCCUCUCCAGAUGGUCAACAGAAAACACAGACUCCUUCCCAAAAGUCUGAGGGGAUUGAAGGGAUGGAGAUGGAGUCUUUACUGGCUGCUGGACCACAGAAGGAUGAUCUGGAUGAGCUGGAGAGGGGAGCAAGAGUUACUACAGAAUUGAACUAUGUGCUAUAGGGUUACUAUAGAGAGACUAUAACUUGAUAAUAGAGACCUAUCCCUCCUAACUAAGCUGAGUUUCUGAGUAUAUAACUGAGUGAUAUGAAUCUUGUUGAGACAGAGUCCUCUGAUCAACGUGUUGGUCACUACUCUAUAAUCCACUUCCAGUAGUUAGUUCUUUACUUUUUGAAGUUUUACUACCCAUGUUUGUAUUAUGGGUUUAUAUCCAUUUCCUGGUUAUUCUAUAUAUGUGUUCCCCAUAAACAAUGUCUUUCUAAUCCCCCUCAGGAAUUGAUAGUGUUGAAUUGAAUGGAAUGAUGGACUAAGGUCUCCUGUUAGAAUCUGUUACAGACCCUCUUAUGUCCAGUACCUGAUAAUCACAGGUAUAUCAACAGGACCACAGGAGGCUGGUGGCACCUUAAUUAGGGAGGAGGGGCUCGUGGUAAUGGCUGAAGUGGAAUCAGUGGAAUGGUAUCAAAUACAUCAAACAUGUGGUUUCCAUGGUUUCCAUGUUUGAUGCCGUUCCAUUGGCUCCGUUCCAGACGUUAUAAUGAGGCUCCUCCCCUCAGCAGCCUCCUGUGAACAAGACUGAUAAAACCAUUUGUUGAAAUGUUUAUAUUUCUGUUUUAGCUUCAACCUGUCAGCUUCUAUUGUAGCUUCAACCUGUCAGCUUCUAUUGUAGCUUCAACCUGUCAGCUUCUAUUGUAGCUUCAUUUUGUUAUUGAAGUGUUUCGAUUUUAGCUUCAACAUGUCAAUGUGCCUGUUUAUAUUUCACUUUUUAAGUGUAUUUUAAAAUAGUGACCUAUUGUGUGCUCAAAAUAAAUUAUAGUAUAUUAUUAUAAACUAAUUAUAUUAUUUUAAACUAAUACAAUUGCUCAGAGAAUUAUUAUUUUUUGUAAUGUAUUUUUUUGUAAAGAUAGGGGUCAAAAUGACAGCCAAAAAUCUCCAGGAGUUUGAUGAUGUCAUUACUAUGAAUAUAGAACCAAAUACUGACCUUCUGACUACUUUAAUUACUAGAAUCAAUAUGGGGUCAAUAAUUUAGACCUUUAGAAUCUAUAGGGGGUCAAUAAUUUAGACCUUUAGAAUCUAUAGGGGGGUCAAUAAUUUAUACCUUUAGAAUCUAUAGGGGGGUCAAUAAUUUAGACCUUUAGAAUCUAUAGGGGGGUCAAUAAAUUAGACCUUUAGAAUCUAUAGGGGGGUCAAUAAUUUAGACCUUUAGAAUCUAUAGGGGGUCAAUAAUUUAUACCUUUAGAAUCUAUAGGGGGGUCAAUAAUUUAGACCUUUAGAAUCUAUAGGGGGGUCAAUAAAUUAGACCUUUAGAAUCUAUAGGGGGGUCAAUAAUUUAUACCUUUAGAAUCUAUAGGGGGGUCAAUAAUUUAGACCUUUAGAAUCUAUAGGGGGGUCAAUAAUUUAUACCUUUAGAAUCUAUAUGGGGUCAAUAAUUUAGACCUUUAGAAUCUAUAGGGGGUCAAUAUUUUAGACCUUUAGAAUCUAUAGGGGGGUCAAUAAUUAAUUUAUAUUAUUAAUAAUUUAGAAAAUAAAUAUUACUUGUUAAACAAAAUAUUUUAAUCAGAUCAAUCGUAUUAAUAUAAAAUAAUAUAAUUGACACAUGUUGUUGAGCAGAUGAUAGAGCUCAGUAUUUAAAUUAUUUAUUUAUACAGUCAUUAUCUUUAUCAGGGGUGUCAAUAAUUCCAUACCAACUGUAUAUUAUAUAUUGAUGUAUUUUAUACAGUCAUUAUCUUUAUCAAGGGUGUCAAUAAUUCCAUACCCACUGUAUAUUAUAUAUUGAUGUAUUUUAUACAGUCAUUAUUAUCUUUAUCAAGGGUGUCAAUAAUUCCAGACCCACUGUAUAUUAUAUAUUGAUGCAUUUUAUACAGUCAUUAUUAUCUUUAUCAAGGGUGUCAAUAAUUCCAGACCCACUGUAUAUUAUAUAUUGAUCAUGUAUAUGCAGUUGAAUGGUAUUUUCCAUGUAUUGAUGAUUUCUUGAUUUUAAUAAACUAGGACAUCGUUGUGUGAGAACGUGACUCCAGUGUAAUAUUUUAACAUUAUUGAAUGUCAGUAGGUAGUGUUACCUUAC
rnacentral:lncRNA from 1 species